rnacentral:rRNA from 1 species
GUGGGGAAUUUUGGACAAUGGGCGCAAGCCUGAUCCAGCAAUGCCGCGUGCAGGAAGAAGGCCUUCGGGUUGUAAACUGCUUUUGUACGGAACGAAACGGUCCGGGUUAAUACCCUGGGCUAAUGACGGUACCGUAAGAAUAAGCACCGGCUAACUACGUGCCAGCAGCCGCGGUAAUACGUAGGGUGCAAGCGUUAAUCGGAAUUACUGGGCGUAAAGCGUGCGCAGGCGGUUUUGUAAGACAGGCGUGAAAUCCCCGGGCUCAACCUGGGAAUUGCGCUUGUGACUGCAAGGCUGGAGUGCGGCAGAGGGGGAUGGAAUUCCGCGGGUAGCAGUGAAAUGCGUAGAUAUGCGGAGGAACACCGAUGGCGAAGGCAAUCCCCUGGGCCUGCACUGACGCUCAUGCACGAAAGCGUGGGGAGCAAACAGGAUUAGAUACCCUUGUAGUCC